CAAAGCGAAAACGUUAUGCGUUUUUGUUAUCAGCCCGUCCUACCGUUUGCUUACUUGCAGUUGAAGGAUUGUGUUGCAACAAGGUUUGGAUGGACGCCGUUUUCCAGCGGAGAUCCGAGUAAAAGUAUCUGUAUCUAACUUCGUGAGUGCACGUCUCGCUUAGAGGUCGUUGUACAACUUAAAGUUAGCGCGCAGGGCCGAAUUUUCCCGGUAUAAAUACACCCCCAAUUUGCAGGCUACUUACGUGUCGCAUCUGCGGCAUCCUGGCACAGUGUCUGCGUAUCCUAUCCGCUAUUGUUUACCUUCCUGAACGGGUUUUGUUGCGGCCUAUGUUUUCAUUAAAGUGACAAAAUCGAUCACGGCGUUCGCGAUUACUACGUACGGAGAACCAGUAGGGAAGAUCAAUUGAUCAUGCCAAUUCGUGACUGAAUGGGACGCGGUUCUUUUGCAGGCUGAGAUCAUCGCCACCUAUGCAAUGGCUGAAUAGAUGUAUCCAUUCAACCAUGCAUGGUGUCCUACGUGCUGUUCCAUUGAAAUGGGGAGUUCAAAGACAAAAACACAACGACGAAAAUCGCCGGGAGAAAAUCUCGUAAAUAUUAUGAUCGGGUCGGCACACUCAAAGCCAUCAGGCGCCAGCUGAACGUCAGGUCAUCAGAGCGGACCUUCGACGUUCACAGUUAACACACGGAUGCGGCUGUCCCUGACCGAUACUUACUUCCACACCAUCCAUAUUGAAGUCUUAUUGGAAAUUGACGGGAUAAUUAAUGAUAUCGGUAUGAACGUCUGCGUGCAGAAGAUGCACAGCACGGCACUCAUCUGGACCUUCAGACGCAGAACACUGGUGCCAACGAACCCAUGUGCAGUCGAACGUUGUGCCCUGUAGGGUCGAGCCAGGCCGCAGCGGAAGUAGUCUUCCCAACGCGACAUAAUCGGCCGCCCUUCCUUUCUCCGGGAACCUGUAUUACUACCAAUCACGACAUCGCCGUUUUCGAGAAAGCGUACCCGUCGGUAUGUGCAACACCAGUUGCAUAUACCCAUUCCUUUGAUAGGGUGUAUAUGUUCAUGGGCAGAGCAAGCAAUACCGAGCUCAAAUAGUAACCUUAACAAUAUAGAACAAUCCUAGAACGCCGUCAUUGGCCAGUCGGUUGUCGACACAUACAUGUUAAACCCAUGCGUUAAAAUGAGGCUUGUAGAAUCUGCAGUAAUCCGGUGCGCCAACAGCUAACCUGGCCUUCAGGUACGUACGUGAGGCCGGGCGGCGAGCCUAGAUAGGUACCAGGGGAGAACCAGCGUAGUAAAUAAGCGUAUGGACUGUAAAUCUGUAGUCGAGCAUGCUCUACACAGUACCCAGCACUGUGUAGAGCAUGCUCGGCUAGCGCUAUAAGAAAUGGCAUAAGCCUACAUGAGAUGUUGACUAGGGGCAUAAUAGCGUAUACUAUUGUUUUGUCAAAUUGGUGUAUGUGCUCCAACGAUAAGGCAAUGGACGUGAAUCAUACUUACAGGACAUACUAAACUGCUUCCAGACUUAUUCUAUAAAAUGAAGUAAACAAUAGGCUAUUAGAGGAGCAGCUGUAAGGACCUAGUAUGGAGUGUCUAUAACUGCACGUGUACGUUCGGUGGAUUGCGAUCGAAUCACG